rnacentral:rRNA from 1 species
GGCGGCAGGCCUAACACAUGCAAGUCGAGCGGUAACACAGGGAGCUUGCUCCCGGGUGACGAGCGGCGGACGGGUGAGUAAUGUCUGGGAAACUGCCUGAUGGAGGGGGAUAACUACUGGAAACGGUAGCUAAUACCGCAUAACGUCGCAAGACCAAAGAGGGGGACCUUCGGGCCUCUUGCCAUCAGAUGUGCCCAGAUGGGAUUAGCUAGUAGGUGGGGUAACGGCUCACCUAGGCGACGAUCCCUAGCUGGUCUGAGAGGAUGACCAGCCACACUGGAACUGAGACACGGUCCAGACUCCUACGGGAGGCAGCAGUGGGGAAUAUUGCACAAUGGGCGCAAGCCUGAUGCAGCCAUGCCGCGUGUAUGAAGAAGGCCUUCGGGUUGUAAAGUACUUUCAGCGGGGAGGAAGGUAGUUGAGGUUAAUAACCUCAGCAAUUGACGUUACCCGCAGAAGAAGCACGGGCUAACUCCGUGCCAGCAGCCGCGGUAAUACGGAGGGUGCAAGCGUUAAUCGGAAUUACUGGGCGUAAAGCGCACGCAGGCGGUCUGUCAAGUCGGAUGUGAAAUCCCCGGGCUCAACCUGGGAACUGCAUUCGAAACUGGCAGGCUAGAGUCUUGUAGAGGGGGGUAGAAUUCCAGGUGUAGCGGUGAAAUGCGUAGAGAUCUGGAGGAAUACCGGUGGCGAAGGCGGCCCCCUGGACAAAGACUGACGCUCAGGUGCGAAAGCGUGGGGAGCAAACAGGAUUAGAUACCCUGGUAGUCCACGCCGUAAACGAUGUCGACUUGGAGGUUGUGCCCUUGAGGCGUGGCUUCCGGAGCUAACGCGUUAAGUCGACCGCCUGGGGAGUACGGCCGCAAGGUUAAAACUCAAAUGAAUUGACGGGGGCCCGCACAAGCGGUGGAGCAUGUGGUUUAAUUCGAUGCAACGCGAAGAACCUUACCUACUCUUGACAUCCAGAGAACUUUCCAGAGAUGGAUUGGUGCCUUCGGGAACUCUGAGACAGGUGCUGCAUGGCUGUCGUCAGCUCGUGUUGUGAAAUGUUGGGUUAAGUCCCGCAACGAGCGCAACCCUUAUCCUUUGUUGCCAGCGGUCCGGCCGGGAACUCAAAGGAGACUGCCAGUGAUAAACUGGAGGAAGGUGGGGAUGACGUCAAGUCAUCAUGGCCCUUACGAGUAGGGCUACACACGUGCUACAAUGGCGCAUACAAAGAGAAGCGACCUCGCGAGAGCAAGCGGACCUCAUAAAGUGCGUCGUAGUCCGGAUUGGAGUCUGCAACUCGACUCCAUGAAGUCGGAAUCGCUAGUAAUCGUAGAUCAGAAUGCUACGGUGAAUACGUUCCCGGGCCUUGUACACACCGCCCGUCACACCAUGGGAGUGGGUUGCAAAAGAAGUAGGUAGCUUAACCUUCGGGAGGGCGCUUACCACUUUGUGAUUCAUGACUGGGGU